AGCGAACGCUGGCGGCAGGCCUAACACAUGCAAGUCGAACGAACUCUUCGGAGUUAGUGGCGGACGGGUGAGUAACACGUGGGAACGUGCCUUUAGGUUCGGAAUAACUCAGGGAAACUUGUGCUAAUACCAAAUGUGCCCUUCGGGGGAAAGAUUUAUCGCCUUUAGAGCGGCCCGCGUCUGAUUAGCUAGUUGGUGAGGUAACGGCUCACCAAGGCGACGAUCAGUAGCUGGUCUGAGAGGAUGACCAGCCACACUGGGACUGAGACACGGCCCAGACUCCUACGGGAGGCAGCAGUGGGGAAUCUUGCGCAAUGGGCGAAAGCCUGACGCAGCCAUGCCACGUGAAUGAUGAAGGUCUUAGGAUUGUAAAAUUCUUUCACCGGGGACGAUAAUGACGGUACCCGGAGAAGAAGCCCCGGCUAACUUCGUGCCAGCAGCCGCAGUAACAC
rnacentral:rRNA from 1 species